rnacentral:lncRNA from 1 species
CGGGGUUUCACCAUGUUGGCCAGGCUGGUCUCGAACUCCUGACCUCGUGAUCUGCCUGCCUUGGGCUCCUGAGUGUUUUCAGAUAAGUAGAUAUUAAGUGACUGACUGAGUAAAGGGAUACACUGGAUCUAUGGAAGUCUUGAUCCAAAAAGCUCUCCAUUGUCCAGUCAGACUCCCUUUUCCAUCUCCAGGGCAGACCAGGGCAUGGUAUAAACUGACUCCACUCCUUGUGUGUAAUACAGUGUCUUCCUAGAGAGGGCGUCUGUCAUUCCACCCCCAGGGACUGCUUGGCAUCUGUGUGGCAGGGGCCAUGCUGUUCCCCGCUGGGAGCACCAUCCUACAGUAAUCUCUGUGCAGGAUGCUAUUAUAAGAAAGACUUGGGACUUUGUCCCCACUCUGCAACCUCACACCCCAAACUGGGAAGGUGCUGAGAAACCGAAGAUUGGCUCGGACAAGUCCAGCUUGGCCAGUAGAUGACUCUAUUGAGGGCCCUCCUGGGUGGCGGCAGGACAGCUCUAGAGGUUCGCACUGCUGCCAUCACUAAGCAAAGUCUCUGGUUCCUGGCCUGCUGUGUGUGAUGGGACUGCCUUCCUGGGUAGGUUCCCAGAUACUCCCAGGGACACACGCUCCUCGCUGGGCCCCCCUGGCCUUGGCUCCUUGCCUGGCCUUCAGGGUUCAGGCAGUGGACAUCCACCCCACGUGACAUGGUGGGACACCUGUCACACCACCGAUGCCCCUGCAGAUGGGCCACGCAACAGCCCUCGGGCCUUCCUGUCUCAGAGCAGGGCUGAUCACAGUCAGGCCCACUGCAGUGGAGAAAGACUGUGCAGAGCUAGACGCUGGACUCGGAUCCUCUCUAGCGUGGGACAGGCACUGGGCACCCAGGUCAGCUGCAGUUCCUGAGAGAGGGCAGCCCCAGAGUCAGAAUCAAGGUGUCAAUAAUAGGAGAAACGAUGGUGGGGAGGAGACCAAGGCAUUAAUAUAGGAACUCUGUAUACUUUCCAGUCAAUUUUUCCAUAAAACUAAAACUGCUCUAAAAAAGGAGUCUGUUAAUUUUUUAAAAUCUCAAAAAGAAUGUGGCUGGUGCCACAAUGAACAAUUUGAGUGAGAAGCUACUCAACGAGGUCAGAGGCAUCAGAGAGGAAGAACACAGCAGCCUGUUUUCUUUGCUGCUCUUUACCGUUAGAAAGAACACUUUUACAACAGACUCUGUUUGAGGACAAACGCUCCACAUUUUUGCCCGCUGGCAGCAGUCAUAAAUUAUGAGAUUUCUGAGGGGCACAAAACUGCAGCGGUCUAAACCAGGCAACAAAAAUCAGCCAAGUCCUUAUCAGGAUCCCCUACAAAUUCUAUUGACUUUUUUGGAUCUGUUUGUCCCUAGGUGUGAACUAGGGAAAAGUCAGGCGAGUCUGCCUUGCUAGUAUAUUUAAAAGAGGAUCUUGGAGAAUUUGAAAGAAAAUGUGGAAGAAGAAAUGACAGUGCUUGGUGAAAGUCAGCAGAAGGGCUUGAUAAUGGAACAGACUAAGGGUGGUGGAUAGUUUUAAGGUUGAGAGAGAAAUGGAAUUAAAAAAAAGGGAGAUAUUCCUGGGGGCUUGAAGCAAGAAGCAGCAGCCGAGAGCAGCGCUGAUCAGGAUGUGAAGGGAGCUUGGUGCGGAGGGCAGUGCUUCCUAUGAGAAAAAGUCCAGUGGUCAAUCUUUUGGGAAGGAGCUGGUGGGAUGAGGGGGCAGCUGGACUGACCUGAGUGCUGUUGUACUGUCUGACCAUCUCCUUUGUAAACAGACGCUCCACACUCAUGCUCAGAGCAGCAUUAUUCACAGCAGCCAGGAGGGGGACGUCGCCCAGGUGUUCCUCGGUGGAUGAAUGGAUAAAGAAAAUGUAAACACACAGUGGAAUCUUACUCAGCCUUGAAAAGGAAGGAAAGUCCAUCCAACACAUGCUACUGCAUGGACGAACUUUGGACAGUGAGCUAAGUGAAAGGAGACAGUCACAAAAGGACAAAUACCAGAUGAUCCCACCUGCGCGAGAUGAUCAGGUUUGUCAUAUCUCCUGCAUGGAGGAAAAUUGCUUUCUGUAAAUCUUGGUCCAACAGAACAAAACACCUAUUUCUUUCCAGUUGGGAGGACAGCCAUUCUCAUCGGUAUAAUGAACGUAUUGUAAGCUGUGACUUUUACAAAGUCUGAGGGAAACCAAUCUGCAAUCUUGACAGAUACGAUCUUUCCAGAUGCACUGUUCGUUUACGGCGGCAAGAGAGCUCAAUUAAUUUCUGAGGGAGGACGGCAGGAUGCGACCCCUUGUGCGUGGCCUAGGAGGAACUGUCCCUGUGUGAAUUUAUGUUCUGGUAAUUUAAAAAGAUUUAUAUUAAGCUUUUCUUUCAUUUUGAGAGUAGAUUAAAAUUCUAAUGGAAACCAUUUGUAUGCAUUUGUUGAAUUGAAGAGUAUUUAUGGCUGUGUAAAAAAAAUGCUGCAAAAUUCUGCCGAUAAUAAAGUCAGUGAAGCAAGAAUAAGUGUAAAAACAGGAAGGAAAUACGCGAUAGAAACCAUACUGUAUUAUACAAGUAUAAUGAGGGAGGCAAGCCGAGCAGAACGGGGCAGGGAUUAGGCCCCCGGAUGGGAUAGUUUUUCUUAUUUAGUGUAAGGCUUUUGUAGCCCUUUUAUGACUUAAAACAAAAUUUAAAUUUUGAAACAGGCCAGGUCAGUCUGCACAGACCCCAUGGCCACAUCACUGUGUCACAUCAUUCUUGAACUCCUGCCGGUGUCUAGGACAAACAGGCAGGAAAGAAAAUCCAAGCGGCGUCUCAGAGAAAAGAUGCUGAUGGCAGGAAAAGAAGACCCAUGAAACAGGAGGCGGGGGUCAGCGAGCAAGGUGAAAAUCAGAGCCCCGGAGUGCAGUGCAGGUGGAAGAGAGGUAGCAAAACCAGGGAAGUCGCCGUGCUCGGGACAGUCCAGUGUGUCCCUGGCAUCCCCAGUCAUUGCCGUGGCCACCUGAUCAGAACCUGUACAGAAGCUGCCCCAUCUCCUCCACGGUGAGGGCCAAGUUGCAUGUGCCACAGCCCUGUCGGUGACCUUUCUGCGGGCUGGGGAAGCAGAGACAACGGCCUGACAAUCUGCAGGCACAGCCAUCCAAGGGGACAGGGUCCAUGCAACAGCCACCAGAGAAAGCUCCUCACUGCCACCUUUGCAGAGGGAGAAAAGCAGAAAGCAUCGUGGAGGCCCUUUAUCAUGUUGGAAGGCCAGAGACAUUUGGCAUUCCGUCAAGGUCCAUCUUAGAGUUGAGAGAGAGUUUCACCAGGAAACUCACAUUCUCUCAGAACUAGCAGCCGUGAUCGCAUGUCGAAGUCAGGCAACGCCAAGCGUGAUGGUUAACAGCGCUAAGACAGGAGAAAAUGGAAAUUCCCUGAGAGUCCACUGCUCUGCUCCUGCGGCGGUGCUUUUCCCCCUCGUUGUAAGCAUGCUCUUUACCAGAGCUGCACGGAUGUCAUAAACUGCCUCACGAUGCACUAGAGCAGAAUCGUGCGUUAGCAAAUUUCACAGAUGCAAAGUGGGAUUUCUGUCAAUGGAAGCCUGCAUGGAAAAUACGGAACAGCUUAAGAAAGUACUGUCUUCUCUCAAAAUUCCACAGGAGCCUGAAAUGCAGGGGUUCCGGCCUAGGCGUUUUUUGAGGCAAAUAACGUCGCCACACGGCCGAGAUACAGGCCCCUUUUUGCCCCAUGAGACUUACUGGCCUCAGAGUCCGGCCGCUUCUGUUUUGUUUCUUCAUGUAUCCUUGGCUUCUAGCGCAGUUCCUGGUACACAGCAGGCGCUCAAUACAUAUUUGCUGAGCUAAGCAAAUAUGUCCUAGGCCCUGUGGAAGAUACGACAUGAGGAAGACCAGGUCCCUGCCAAAAAGGCACCGAGGGCCCAGGCUGGGGAGGGUAGUGCUGACAUCGAGUAGGCCUUCAGCUCUGACCCCAGCUUCAUUUUAAGUGACUAGGAACAAAUUCUCAAAACUUCUUUUCUAUCAACUCUUCUUCACCCCCAAUAUCACAGCACAACUGUCUGUCAUUGAUGGAGUUCCUGCAAUAAGACAAGCGCUAGAAGUUUACCAUAUUUGUAUCCUUACUGGAUUCCCAAAUUAAUCCUAGUAAGCAAGUGACAUGAUUGUUUUUAGUAGAGACAGGGUUUCACUUUGUUGGCCAGGCUAGUCUUGAACUCCUGACCUCAAGUGAUCCACCCACCUCAGCCUCCCAAAGUGCUGGGAUUAGGAAAAUGAAUACUUUUGCAAGCACAAUGACAGGAGUGUCAAAGGAGGUAGGCUCCACACUCUGAUGUCUCUUUAUCAGUGAGGCCUUUUCUGACUCCCUCACAUGAAGAGCAAACUCACUUCCCUUGUGCCAAAGCACUCAACAUAUAUGACAUCCCACACGGGGUAGGCUGAAUCGUGGCCCUUAAAGUAUGUCCAUGUUCCAAUCCUUAGAACAUGUGAAUGUAUUACCUUAUGUGGCAAAAUGGACUUUGCAGACAUGAUUAAGUUAAGGAUCUUGAGAUUUCAGGAAAAUUAUCUUGGAUCAUUCAGGUAGGCCUGACAUAAUCACAAGAGCCCUUACAAGAGAGAGGCAGGAGGCCAGAGGCAGAGAGCUACACUGCGGAGCUGCUUUGCAGAUGGAGGAAGGGGCCACCGAGACCUGAGAAAGUCAAGGAGACAGAUUCUCCCCUGGAGCCUCCAGAGGGAACCAGCCCUGCUCACACCGUCAUUUCAGCCCUGCAAGACUUGUUUGGGCUUCUGACGUCAAGAACUGGGACAGAAUGAAUUUGUGAUGUUUUAGGCCACUAGAUCUGUGGUAAUGUGUUAUAGCAGAAAUAGGAAACUAACACAACUCAUCUCUACUUGUGUAUAUGUUUGUUAUCCGUCUUCCUCUGCUGGGACAUGAAAUCCGCAACAAGUGGAGGCAAAGCCAGGGACUUUGUCUAUUAUGUUGACUGGCAUCCUUAGUGCUCAGAACAGAGCUCAGAAUAAUAAAUAUUUGUUGAAUGAGCAAAGACGGAGGGGGCAGUCGCAGGAAGGGGGCCUACCGCGUGGCUAAGGGCCCUGAGGUAUGAAAGAUCUGAGAUGCUGGUGGACGUGGCUGCUUCCCGAGCUGAACUGGGGAAGUGGUGGGGAGGUGGGAGAUGUCGGGGAGCUGAUGCUGGGGCAGUUUAUACUUUAUUCUGCAAAUGAAGAAUUAUUGAUGGGUUUCAUGUAGAGUCAUGAUCAUAUUUCUUGAUUGCGUUUUUUUUUUGUUUUGUUUUGUUUUGUUUUUUUGAGACAGAGUCUCACUCUGUCGCCGAGGCUGGAGUGCAGUGGUGCGAUCUUGGCUCACUGCAACCUCCGCCUCCUGGAUUCAAGCUUCCCGAGUAGCUGGGAUUACAGGUGCAUGCCACCAUGCCCGGCUAAUUUUUGUAUUUUUAGUAGAGACGGAGUUUCACCAUGUUAGUCAGGCUGGUCUCAAACUCCUGACCUCGUGAUCCACCCACCUCAACCUCCCAAAGUGCUGGGAUUACAAGCGUGAGCCACUGCGCCUGGCCUCCUGAUUGCUUUUUAAGUAAUUUUUUAAAAAUAAUUUUUCUCUUUAUUAUUAAAUGUUAGAAAUAUAUGGAAACGUGGGCAAAAAGUAAAAAUCACUCAAAUCUCAUUCCUAGAGUUAGUCACUAUUAAUAUUUUGGUGUAUGUGUAUUUCUUCCUUCAACAUUCAGAUUAUAUACUUUUUUGAAACUGGCUUUUUUCUCUUAAUGUGAAUUUCUCCAUGUCAUUAAAUAUUCUCCUAAAAA